UUGGCUAUUGGCCAGAAAGGGGGAAAAUAAUAAAAAGGGUAAAGACUCUUCUUCUGGAAAAAGGGAAAAAAUUUCUUCAUUUCCCCAUCCAAUUGUGAAAUUCAUCACUACACCACUUCUUUCGCCUCCGCUAAUCCUCUCUGUUCAUCUUCACCACCACCGUAAAAACUCCAUAACCUCCUUGAACCUCCCUCAAAAUUUCCCUCACUCCCCACACCACAAAACCUUCUUCUUCUUCACAAUAACAAACAACCCACAACAAUAACAUCUACGACCGCCGUCGAUAACCUCCAAUUACAUCCGCGAUCGCCUCCUAACCUUCUCCUAGCCACCGCCGUGAAUCCGCCUCUCACCACCAACCAACGGUGCUCACUACUCCAUCUUCUCCCUCAACUCACCACCGUGAAACACCACCACUCACCUCCUUCUCCGAACAAUCCACCUCCGUCUCCGUCAUCGAUAACCGUAACACCGUCGUUGCAUAACCCACAUUUUCACCGUCGAAAAUCCAUUCUUCUUCCUACAUUCACACAUCACCCUGUUUUUUUCUAGCAAACUGCAUAUCUAUCUAUCCAUUCUCCAUACGAAACGAAGUCUCCACAGAUUUGAACAAAAACAAGUUAUUCAAUAAAUCAAGCUUGGUUCAGAUCUGGAUAACGGCUCGCAACGAGGAUUUGAAGAGGAUGAACAAGAGUGAUUCGUGGCCAAAAUCUAUUGUGAGAGUGAAAGGUUAGAAUUUGUUCAAGCGAUUGCGUGCAGACUUCUCAUCAAAAUAAUAACAACAUUCGGCGUCAAGAUUAUAUGUGGUAAUAUUUUGGUUCCACUUUCUGUUAUAUUUGCUUUUUGUUCUGUUGUAUUUAAUUAUGUUGGUUGAUACUCUAUUGUUAUUAUUGUAUUCUGGUUUGUGGUUUGUAUAGUCUUCAUAAAGGUUUGCAUCAUGUUAAAGCUCCACAAACAAGAUUAUAUUCUACUACUAGUAAAUUUUGGAAUUUGUUUGAGUAGGUCCUAUUUGAUUUGAUACAAUUUUUACCUUUGCCUGGACUUAUUAAAUUAUAAUGACAGUUCUAUAGAAUGCAAGCUUUUUUU